ACAGCUCAGUUGGUACAGCAUGAGACUCUUAAUCUCAAGGCUGUGGGUUCGAUACCUGUGUUGGAUG